GCCAUAGUUCAGUGGUAGAACAUCUGCCUUGCAUGCAUGCAGAAGGCCCCCUGUUCACUCCCCAGCAUCUCCA